rnacentral:rRNA from 1 species
CAGUCGAGCGGACAGAUGGGAGCUUGCUCCCUGAUGUUAGCGGCGGACGGGUGAGUAACACGUGGGUAACCUGCCUGUAAGACUGGGAUAACUCCGGGAAACCGGGGCUAAUACCGGAUGCUUGUUUGAACCGCAUGGUUCAAACAUAAAAGGUGGCUUCGGCUACCACUUACAGAUGGACCCGCGGCGCAUUAGCUAGUUGGUGAGGUAAUGGCUCACCAAGGCGACGAUGCGUAGCCCACCUGAGAGGGUGAUCGGCCACACUGGGACUGAAACACGGCCCAGACUCCUACGGGAGGCAGCAGUAGGGAAUCUUCCGCAAUGGACGAAAGUCUGACGGAACAACGCCCCGUGAGUGAUGAAGGUUUUCGGAUCGUAAAGCUCUGUUGUUAGGGAAGAACAAGUACCGUUCGAAUAGGGCGGUACCUUGACGGUACCUAACCAGAAAGCCACGGCUAACUACGUGCCAGCAGCCGCGGUAAUACGUAAGUGGCAAGCGUUGUCCGGAAUUAUUGGGCGUAAAGGGCUCGCAGGCGGUUUCUUAAGUCUGAUGUGAAAGCCCCCGGCUCAACCGGGGAGGGUCAUUGGAAACUGGGGAACUUGAGUGCA